AAUAGAUACCCCGGUAGUCCACGCCGUAAACGAUGAGUGCUAAGUGUUAGAGGGUUUCCGCCCUUUAGUGCUGCAGCAAACGCAUUAAGCACUCCGCCUGGGGAGUACGGCCGCAAGGCUGAAACUCAAAGGAAUUGACGGGGGCCCGCACAAGCGGUGGAGCAUGUGGUUUAAUUCGAAGCAACGCGAAGAACCUUACCAGGUCUUGACAUCCUCUGACACUCCUAGAGAUAGGACGUUCCCCUUCGGGGGACAGAGUGACAGGUGGUGCAUGGUUGUCGUCAGCUCGUGUCGUGAGAUGUUGGGUUAAGUCCCGCAACGAGCGCAACCCUUGAUCUUAGUUGCCAGCAUUAAGUUGGGCACUCUAAGGUGACUGCCGGUGACAAACCGGAGGAAGGUGGGGAUGACGUCAAAUCAUCAUGCCCCUUAUGACCUGGGCUACACACGUGCUACAAUGGAUGGUACAAAGGGCAGCAAAACCGCGAGGUCGAGCAAAUCCCAUAAAACCAUUCUCAGUUCGGAUUGUAGG
rnacentral:rRNA from 1 species